GUAAGACCGGUGAGAAGGGGAUUGCAAUAGUCAAGGCGAGAGAGAACAACAGCAUGAACCAGUACCUUAGCCGCGUCCGGCGUUAGAUAUGGGCGGAUGCGCGCUAUGUUCUUAAGUUGGAAGCGACAGGAUUUGGCUAUCGAUUGAACAUGGGGAGUAAAAGAGAGAUCAGAAUCAAAAAGAACUCCUAGGCAGCGAGCCUGGGAGGUAGAGGUGAUAG